rnacentral:lncRNA from 1 species
AACAAGGUGGAAGAACUAACAUUUCCAGCUAUUAUAUUAAUCACUUUGUCAUUAUUAAAUAGUAUUAAAAUACAAUAUUUCAUUAUUAAAUACAUUUGAUAUAAAAUACAAUAUUUUUACAUAAAUUAAGAGCCUUUGAUGAAAUUGAUAUAAAAUCAACAAAGUAUGUCUAUUAAAUAUAGUAUAUUAUAAAAUAAUUUAUAUUUUAUAAUAUACUAUAUUUAAUAUAAUAUUAUGUAUGGCAUGGACCCCUCUUGCUUUAAAAACCACACAGACACUCAUUCACGAUUUUCUCAUUUGUAAUUGAAAGAUACAAGACAUCACUCACAGUUUUUGUAGAUUUGUACAACUAACGGUACAGUUUUUCUCGCAUAGCCUUUCGCCUGUCUUUGUUUAUACUCUGUAUAUAAUUAAAUCUCGUAUAUAAAACUAUAAAAUGUCCCUUCGGCUUCGGCGAUUUCAAUCUUUAAAUAAUCCAAUGUCCAAUUUUGCGCAGCUUUUUAAUACAUUGUGACACAACAUCCAACAUUUUUUAUAUUAAAAAUAAAAUUUCCAUUGAUAGACAGCAGAUUUCAACAACCAAAACGACUCUUCGUCUUCUUUGAAGAGUUAAUACACUCCUAUCUAUUCAUAUUGUCAGCCAUAUUUAU